rnacentral:rRNA from 1 species
GAUGAACGCUGGCGGCGUGCCUAAUACAUGCAAGUCGAGCGAACGGACGAGAAGCUUGCUUCUCUGAUGUUAGCGGCGGACGGGUGAGUAACACGUGGAUAACCUACCUAUAAGACUGGGAUAACUUCGGGAAACCGGAGCUAAUACCGGAUAAUAUUUUGAACCGCAUGGUUCAAAAGUGAAAGACGGUCUUGCUUUCCCUUAUAGAUGGAUCCGCGCUGCAUUAGCUAGUUGGUAAGGUAACGGCUUACCAAGGCAACGAUGCAUAGCCGACCUGAGAGGGUGAUCGGCCACACUGGAACUGAGACACGGUCCAGACUCCUACGGGAGGCAGCAGUAGGGAAUCUUCCGCAAUGGGCGAAAGCCUGACGGAGCAACGCCGCGUGAGUGAUGAAGGUCUUCGGAUCGUAAAACUCUGUUAUUAGGGAAGAACAUAUGUGUAAGUAACUGUGCACAUCUUGACGGUACCUAAUCAGAAAGCCACGGCUAACUACGUG